GCUAUAAAGUGGUGAACAUGUCAAGAUCUCCCCAUCCUCAUGGAGCUGACCUUCUAGUAGGAAAGACAAUGACUAGACAACCAUCUGCCAGGAAGUCAGGUCAAGGUUACGGCUGCAGGAUGGACGGGAGGACAGACCAGAACUGAAUGGCCA